rnacentral:rRNA from 1 species
UACGGAGGGUGCAAGCGUUAUCCGGAUUCACUGGGCGUAAAGCGCACGUAGGCGGAUUGUUAAGUCAGGGGUGAAAUCCUGGAGCUCAACUCCAGAACUGCCUUUGAUACUGGCGAUCUCGAGUCCGGGAGAGGUGAGUGGAACUGCGAGUGUAGAGGUGAAAUUCGUAGAUAUUCGCAAGAACACCAGUGGCGAAGGCGGCUCACUGGCCCGGUACUGACGCUGAGGUGCGAAAGCGUGGGGAGCAAACAGG